UCGGGAAUUUUGGGCAAUGGGCGAAAGCCUGACCCAGCAACGCCGCGUGAAGGAUGAAAUCUUUCGGGAUGUAAACUUCGGAAGAAUAGGAAGAAUAAAAUGACGGUACUAUUUUUAAGGUCCGGCUAACUACGUGCCAGCAGCCGCGGUAAUACAGAGGGUGCAAGCGUUGUUCGGAAUUACUGGGCGUAAAGCGCGUGUAGGUGGUCGAGUAAGUCGAAUGUGAAAGCCCCGGGCUCAACCCGGGAAGUGCAUCCGAAACUGCUCGACUAGAGUCCCGGAGAGGAAGGCAGAAUUCCCAAUGUAGGGGUGAAAUCCGUAGAUAUUGGGAGGAAUACCGGUGGCGAAGGCGGCCUUCUGGACGGUGACUGACACUCAGACGCGAAAGCGUGGGGAGCAAACAGGAUUAGAUACCCCUGUAGUCCCUGAGCGGGCUGGCAAGGCGCAU
rnacentral:rRNA from 1 species